UAAGGUUAAGUUAAUAAGGGCGCACGGUGGAUGCCUUGGCACUAGAAGCCGAUGAAGGACGUGACUAACGACGAAAUGCUUUGGGGAGCUGUAAGUGAGCAAUGAUCCAGAGAUGUCCGAAUGGGGGAACCCGGCAGGUAAUGCCUGUCACUCAUUACUGUUAAGGUAAUGUAGAGGAAGACGCAGUGAACUGAAACAUCUAAGUAGCUGCAGGAAGAGAAAGCAAAAGCGAUUGCCUUAGUAGCGGCGAGCGAAACGGCAAGAGGGCAAACCGAAGAGUUUACUCUUCGGGGUUGUAGGACUGCAACGUGGACUUAAAGAUUAUAGAAGAACUACCUGGGAAGGUAGGCCAAAGAGAGUAAUAGCCUCGUAUUCGAAAUAGUCUUUAUACCUAGCAGUAUCCUGAGUACGGCGAGACACGAGAAAUCUCGUCGGAAUCUGGGAGGACCAUCUCCCAACCCUAAAUACUCUCUAGUGACCGAUAGUGAACCAGUACCGUGAGGGAAAGGUGAAAAGCACCCCGGGAGGGGAGUGAAAUAGAACCUGAAACCGUGUGCCUACAACAAGUUCGAGCCCGUUAAUGGGUGAGAGCGUGCCUUUUGUAGAAUGAACCGGCGAGUUACGAUAUGAUGCGAGGUUAAGUUGAAGAGACGGAGCCGUAGGGAAACCGAGUCUUAAUAGGGCGUAUUAGUAUCAUGUCGUAGACCCGAAACCAUGUGACCUACCCAUGAGCAGGUUGAAGGUGAGGUAAAACUCACUGGAGGACCGAACCAGGGCACGUUGAAAAGUGCUUGGAUGACUUGUGGGUAGCGGAGAAAUUCCAAACGAACUUGGAGAUAGCUGGUUCUCUCCGAAAUAGCUUUAGGGCUAGCGUCGAUGUUAAGUCUCUUGGAGGUAGAGCACUGUUUGGGUGAGGGGUCCAUCCCGGAUUACCAAUCUCAGAUAAACUCCGAAUGCCAACGAGAUAUAAUCGGCAGUCAGACUGCGAGUGCUAAGAUCCGUAGUCGAAAGGGAAACAGCCCAGACCACCAGCUAAGGUCCCAAAAUAUAUGUUAAGUGGAAAAGGAUGUGGGGUUGCACAGACAACUAGGAUGUUAGCUUAGAAGCAGCUAUUCAUUCAAAGAGUGCGUAAUAGCUCACUAGUCGAGUGACCCUGCGCCGAAAAUGUACCGGGGCUAAAACAUAUUACCGAAGCUGUGGAUACCUUUAUAGGUAUGGUAGGAGAGCGUUCUAUGUGCGAAGAAGGUGUACCGUGAGGAGUGCUGGAGCGCAUAGAAGUGAGAAUGCCGGUAUGAGUAGCGAAAGACAGGUGAGAAUCCUGUCCACCGUAAGACUAAGGUUUCCAGGGGAAGGCUCGUCCGCCCUGGGUUAGUCGGGACCUAAGGAGAGACCGAAAGGUGUAUCCGAUGGACAACAGGUUGAUAUUCCUGUACUAGAGUAUAUAGUGAUGGAGGGACGCAGUAGGCUAACUAAACCAGACGAUUGGAAGUGUCUGGCCAAGCAGUGAGGUGUGAUAUGAGUCAAAUGCUUAUAUCUAUAACAUUGAUCUGUGAUGGGGAGCGAAGUUUAGUAGCGAAGUUAGUGAUGUCACACUGCCGAGAAAAGCUUCUAGCGUUAAUUAUACUCUACCCGUACCGCAAACCGACACAGGUAGUCGAGGCGAGUAGCCUCAGGUGAGCGAGAGAACUCUCGUUAAGGAACUCGGCAAAAUGGCCCCGUAACUUCGGGAGAAGGGGCGCUGACUUAUGGUCAGCCGCAGUGAAUAGGCCCAAGCAACUGUUUAUCAAAAACACAGCUCUCUGCUAAAUCGUAAGAUGAUGUAUAGGGGGUGACGCCUGCCCGGUGCUGGAAGGUUAAGAGGAGUGCUUAGCA
rnacentral:rRNA from 1 species